GGGGGUGACCGGUUUUGACAGCAAGAUGAAUUGUCACGGAAGCAUGCCGAGCACGGUGGCGAAGCUCGUAAAUCCUGGCUGCAAAAAAUUAAUUGGCGAAAAUAACUACGCUUUCGCUGCCUGAUCGAAGUACAGUAGAUCACUGGCUUAAUCCGCCCACAAGGUGGGUGGACGAAACAUCCCGCAGGUGGAGAUGCCUGAUUCCGGCCUGAGCACGGGGUGCUAAUCAA
rnacentral:tmRNA from 1 species